rnacentral:rRNA from 1 species
UACGGGGGGAGCAAGCGUUGUUCGGAUUUACUGGGCGUAAAGGGCUCGUAGGCGGCCAACUAAGUCAGACGUGAAAUCCCUCGGCUUAACCGGGGAACUGCGUCUGAUACUGGAUGGCUAGAGGUUGGGAGAGGGAUGCGGAAUUCCAGGUGUAGCGGUGAAAUGCGUAGAUAUCUGGAGGAACACCGGUGGCGAAGGCGGCAUCCUGGACCGACACUGACGCUGAGGAGCGAAAGCCAGGGGAGCAAACGGG